CUAAGGCCGAUGGCGACCGGCGCACGGGUGAGUAACACGUAUCCAACCUGCCGAUGACUCGGGGAUAGCCUUUCGAAAGAAAGAUUAAUACCCGAUGGCAUAGUUCUUCCGCAUGGUAGAACUAUUAAAGAAUUUCGGUCAUCGAUGGGGAUGCGUUCCAUUAGGUUGUUGGCGGGGUAACGGGCCCACCAAGCCUUCGAUGGAUAGGGGUUCUGAGAGGAAGGUCCCCCCACAUUGGAACUGAGACACGGUCCAAACUCCUACGGGAGGCAGCAU
rnacentral:rRNA from 1 species